rnacentral:rRNA from 1 species
GACGAACGCUGGCGGCGUGCUUAACACAUGCAAGUCGAACGGAAAGGCCCUGCUUUUGUGGGGUGCUCGAGUGGCGAACGGGUGAGUAACACGUGAGUAACCUGCCCUUGACUUUGGGAUAACUUCAGGAAACUGGGGCUAAUACCGGAUAGGAGCUCCUGCUGCAUGGUGGGGGUUGGAAAGUUUCGGCGGUUGGGGAUGGACUCGCGGCUUAUCAGCUUGUUGGUGGGGUAGUGGCUUACCAAGGCUUUGACGGGUAGCCGGCCUGAGAGGGUGACCGGCCACAUUGGGACUGAGAGACGGACCAGAAUCCUACGGGAGGCAGCAGUGGGGAAUAUGGCACAAUGGGCGGAAGCCUGAUGCAGCAACGCCGCGUGCGGGAUGACGGCCUUCGGGUUGUAAACCGCUUUCGCCUGUGACGAAGCGUGAGUGACGGUAAUGGGUAAAGAAGCACCGGCUAACUACGUG